UUAGAUAAGAACGGCUUCUGACAAGUUUCCAGCCAUGAUAAAAUGAGUGCCAAACCUUAGCUGUAAACAGGAACAGCAUAGCUUAAGCAUUCGUGCUCAAGACAGAUUUUCCGAUGUGUAGCAUUAGUUCCACCGUGCGAAGAUUACAGCUAAAGACCUUCUGACAUGGCAGAGGCCAUGGCCAAAGAUGACUGCUGUCAAAACCUACAAGUGAAACUGGACUGAUGCCAUGUAACGCACAAAGCAAUCAGUGUUCAGGCAGUGAAUACAAGARGCUAUGUAUGUGACGCUGCAGCUGCCGGUGCUCUAGGAAGGUUGGGCUAAAUCUCUUGCCAAAGUGGGAUCCUCCUAGUUGAACUGAGAGGAGACCCCAUCACUGGGAAGUCCCUGUGCCUGACUGCAGUAGGUGUCUGCUCUUUACAGCAAAARCUGUCCUCUGAAUCCACGUUGCUUGCUGCUCCUUGGUUUGUAAACAGACUCAUCCUUCAUGUGGGUGGUUUAUGUUGUAUGCUGUGCUCUYGUCUCACGUUCUGUGGUCCUUCCAUUUUGGAGUUUGCUUCUACUGAGUGUGUCUGAUGCUUGUUAGACUUGGAUAAAGAAGAGUUCAUGGGGAUAGAUAAAAUGCUUACAAGCUUAGUCACCUGAACAGUUGCUAUUUUUAGUCUGAAGCUGCACAGUUUUGAUUGAGACCUAAUGGCCCUGGUGCUCAGGAUAUUUGGCUGCGUAACUCUAGAUCUUUGUGAAGAGGACAGAAUUAGACUCGGCCAGAUGAAGAGUCUGGGGACCUUUGCAACCCAACACCAGAAUGAUUACAAGCUUUCCCAGGAGAGAGGGGCGAUUCUGGACGCGGGCGGGUGUGCGGGAGGUCUGCAGCGCGCUGCCCGUGACAGCUGUGCGGACACAGCCCUCCGAGGAGCCUCUGCCUACAGGAAGCAGCAAGACCGGACUGUUUAA
rnacentral:lncRNA from 1 species